rnacentral:rRNA from 1 species
GUGCACCAGGCGAGAAUACUUUACAAUGUGCGAAAGCACGAUAAGGGAACUCUGAGUGCCUCCUAAGGAGGCUGUUCAGGUGUCUAAAAGCACCUGAAGGAAGGGCUAGGUAAGACCGGUGCCAGCCGCCGCGGUAACACCGGCAGCCCAAGUGGUAGCCACGUUUAUUGGGUCUAAAGCGUCCGUAGCCGGCUGGGUAAGUUCCUUGGGAAAUUUGGCUGCUUAACAGUCAAGCUUUCAGGGAAUACUGCCCGGCUUGGGACCGGGAGAGGUCAGAGGUACUCCAGGGGUAGGGGUGAAAUCCAUUAAUCCUUGGGGGACCACCGGUAGCGAAGGCGUCUGACCAGACCGGGUCCGACGGUGAGGGACGAAGGCUAGGGGCGCGAACCGGAUUAGAUACCCCCGU